ensembl:lncRNA
CCAUUUGUAUGGCUAAACCAGAUAUAAUACCAUCUGUAUGGCUAAAACAACAACAACAACAACACGGAACAUUCCGGCAACGGGCCGGCGUCAUGGCAACGCCCUUGCAUGGCAAUCCAAUUUAUUGAACUACAGAUGCUGGGUUAUACAAAAUACACCACUUCAAUUAAGGCUUUUUAGUUUACAUUUGGCCACGCCCCCUCUGUUUGUCCCUCCCCAGCCCCUCCCCCUUAAUAGGCAGAUGACGUUGCAUUUCCAAUACUGUGGCUCUGUGAGGGGACAUGGUACACACGGUCUGUCCACCAUGCUGCUGUUGGUUAUCAUCACAGCAACACAAAGCGACAAAGGCAUUCUCUUACAAGAGGUCAACAGAGGUCACGCAACUCACAACAAACGUGCAACUUUAAACCCCCCCCUCCCCCUCCAUCUCAAAUGGCAACCUAAGCCCAUAGGGCUAUAGUCAAAAGUAGUGCCCUAUGUAGGGAAUAGGGUGCCAUUAGGGACGUACACCCCCCGUCUCAUCCAAGUUCUGCCUGUUCCUCCUCCUCCAUCAUCAUCUCUACAUUGCUGUGGUUCUUAUUGUAUUUCAGUCUUAUUCCCUGCUGCUUCAAACACAUUAGUUUGUCCCCCUCCCCCACAUUCACUAUAGAACAGAUAACAACCCCACACGGUUACUCUUCAUCAUCAUCAUCAUCAUCAUCAUCAUCAUCAUCAUCAUCAUCAUCAUCAUCUGACAGACUGACAGGAAACAGGUCAAACCAAGUAUUACACAGGUGAAAUAGUCACUAACAGGCAAGUUUCUUUACUGACAGGAUCCAAUAUUUGGUUUUCAUGUCCUCAGCUGACAACAGAUGCAUUAGCAAGCAAGGGGACAGGGGAGGGCUGGGAGAGAUGGGGAGGGGCUGGGGGAGAGGGGGAGGGGCCGGGGGAGGGCUUGGGGAGAGGAGUGAGAUAGGGGAAAGAGGCUAGGGGACAGGGGGAGAUAGGGGCUGUGGGAGGGAGGGAGAAGGGGAGAGAGGGGGACAGAGGCUAGGGGACAGGGGAGAUAGGGGCUGUGGGAGGGAGGGAGAAGGGGAGAGAGGCUAGGGGAAAGGGCUAGGGACAGGGGGAGAUAGGGGCUGUGGGAGGGAGGAGAAGGGGAGAGAGGCUAGGGGACAGAGGGAGAUAGGGACAGAGGCUAGGGGACAGGGGGAGAUAGGGGCUGGGACAGGGGGAGAUAGGGGCUGUGGGAGGGAGGGAGAGGGACAGAGG